rnacentral:rRNA from 1 species
CCUACGGGAGGCAGCAGUGAGGAAUAUUGGUCAAUGGACGAGAGUCUGAACCAGCCAAGUAGCGUGAAGGAUGACUGCCCUAUGGGUUGUAAACUUCUUUUAUAUGGGAAUAAAAUGUUCCACGUGUGGGAUUUUGUAUGUACCAUAUGAAUAAGGAUCGGCUAACUCCGUGCCAGCAGCCGCGGUACUACGGAGGAUCCGAGCGUUAUCCGGAUUUAUUGGGUUUAAAGGGAGCGUAGGUGGAUUGUUAAGUCAGUUGUGAAAGUUUGCGGCUCAACCGUAAAAUUGCAGUUGAGACUGGCAGUCUUGAGUACAGUAGAGGUGGGCGGAAGUCGUGGUGUAGCGGUGAAAUGCUUAGAUAUCACGAAGAACUCCGAUUGCGAAGGCAGUUCACUGGACUGCAACUGACACUGAGGCUCGAAAGUGUGGGUAUCAAACAGGAUUAGAUACCCCAGUAGUC